rnacentral:misc_RNA from 1 species
AAGGAGCACCAACUGGCCGAGGUCGCCUCGUGAGAGGGAUCUGGGUCGGUGGCCGCUGUUGACAGCGAAUGUCUGUCAGGUGGCUGCUCAUAGAUGUGGAGCACUGGCUACUCAGCUCACCGCGCGUGUGAGCCGGCAAGUACCGCCUCUGGAUCCUUCGGGAUCGAGGGGAGUGGGAACGGCGGUUUCGGGCGGGUGGCGGGUUGGACACGCUGUUGGGUCCUGAGGGAACGGGCGCGAGCCCGGGUGGCCUCGGACUACGGGACCAGGACCGCAUCACCGUGAGGUGGUGUGGUUUUGGUGGGCCCGGUUGUUUUUUGAGAACUGCACAGUGGACGCGAGCAUCUCUGGUGAACGAUGAGAGCCGCUUUGAAGGCCCCUUCUUUCGGGAGGGUGUGUCUUCGGGUUGUUCUUGUUGUUUAUCUGCGAUUUGUUCUGAUCGUUUUGU